UUCAAAAUAUUAACAAAAUUAGUUUUGUUUCAGUUCAAGGACCAAUGCCAUUUUGUCUUUAUUUAUAAAGAUCUGGCAUCACUAUCUAACUGAAUAUCAUAUCUUACCUACUGAAAUUAAUUUUAUCCACCAUACUAAUACAAUACUGCUUUUAACGGAAAGUUUCUAGAUUAAAAAAAAGGGCAAGAUAGUAAGAUAGAGACUAUUCAAUUUAAUCCCACCCCCUUUAAAAAUAAUUAAACUAUUCUAUUCUUUUCUGGUUUCCAUUUUGCCAAUCACUCAACUAUUGUCUGACUAAAUCUCACCAUUCAAACUACACCUCAUAUUUGAAAGCAAUUCUCCCAUCCUUUUUUAAAUUAAAAAACAGGAAAUAUAGAUUUGUUCCAUCUAGUGACAGCCAACAUUUCCACUACAGUCAACAUUAUAAAAUACUUUCAAGCAGUAGCACAACCAUGCAAUUCCCUUGUUUUAAAAAAAAUGCUACGGUACCAUAUUAGUCUUCUAAUGAGAAAAACAAUUUGUAAUUAAUAUUGAAAUGAACAUAGUCUUAAGAAUAAAACAGUAAUGUUGUCCAUUUAUUUUUUUAACUUUGGAAAUUACAUAUUAUGAAGUCUUUCCAAUAGUUUGCAUAAAUAUUUUAAACAUUUUCCCGACUACAUGAAGUGCAGCAGGGAACAGACCAGGUAAGCCACAUUCAAAGAUGAAUUUACAAACCUAAUUGAGAGCUGUCUAGUUUAUGACAUUUCUUUGUAUUUGCGUCACUGCUUAAUCUUAUCAUAAUCACAUAGAAUUAACUUUCAAGUUAAAACUGUAUGUGUAUAUUCUACCAGAUGUAAUCUGUGUGCAGUGUUCUACAUCGGUGAUUGAAGUUGAUUUUAAAAGAUGUGUCACCGAAGUUUUUAAUUAACGUUUAUUAAGCAUAAAUUUAGCUCAUUUUCAAACUAAUGACAUCCUUGUUUCAAAUCUAUUUUCAGUGACAAACCUACUGGCAAGAAUUCUGCUAAUGCAAAGACUAGGUUAUGUAAGAGAUUUUGUGGGGGUGGAGAUGGAAGAAACCUCUCCUCUUCCACUACUUGAGAAUGGUCCUUCCCUCAUUUGACACUUUCCAGAUAAGGUUCUGAGGAUCCUUCCACCCAAGGCCUCAUAAUAAAGAAAAAGAUACCAUGAUGACUAUACUGGACCAUCUGCCAACAAUCUCAAUUCUUUGGGAGUCAGGAAGACCACAAGUACACAAGUACCAUCAGUAAGCAAGCUGGAACAGGCAGGGAUCUCUUGAGGAGUGUCAACUGUGACCUGAGUUUGAUUAAAAGGUUCCAAGCCCACUGAUGAAUAUCAGGGGUUCACAAAUGAAAAAAGGUUGAAAACCACUGUUCUAGAUCAAGGAAGAUUAAUAAGAUGUGGGCCAUGACUCUGCAAACCGAUUAAAGAAACCAAAAGGAUAUGCUAAGAUAAAUGAAGUUUGGAUAACUAAGAAGUUGACUGGCUGGUUUCUCCUAUGGAAGUAUGAAUCACAAGAACACAACGGGAAUUAACACCACCAAGCUAGUUGGCCUUAAGGAACACCGUCUGCUGUCCAUAAAUUCUGGCUCAGCUGGCCUUGAAAAUUAUGCUCAAGGUCAGGAAAAAGCCUGUGAAUCUGUCACUCCUGACGACAGUAUUUGAAAAUGUGGGGCACCCCCCACAGAUCUCUGGAUAACAGAUUGCAAUGUAUAUGUUUAAUAAUAACUCCUUUCCUCUUUGUCAUCUCCUUUUGAUAGCAUCACUCUGUGACUUCACAGUUUCCAUAUACACUAUUAAUGGACACUACCAUCAGCAAUAGCCACUUUUUCUAGUUUGGACAAGGCCCUUCUCUUCCUCCCUAGCUGACUCAAACACAGUGUUGGUGGGUUCUGGAAGGAGCCAUACCUAGCAAUCUUAGAGCAGAAAGCAAAGGUGUUCUUAUGUAUGGGAUGUUUAUAAUGUGAAAAAUAAAGGACAUUUAGCGAUCCCCAAAGCUCUCCAGCAUGCAAAAGCCUUUAAAUCAAGUGUUUCAGAAGUAAUAAACACACAUGCCAGUGAGCACAUAGAGUUGUAAACAGAAUAAUUAAGGUUUCACCAAAGAAAACAAACAGGAAGUUUUACCAAGCAAUACAGUAUUAAAAAUAAGCAGCUGU